rnacentral:rRNA from 1 species
UACAGAGGUCUCAACCGUUGUUCGGAUUCAUUGGGCGUAAAGGGUGCGUAGGCGGUCGCGCAAGUCGGAUGUGAAAUCUCAGGGCUCAACCCUGAAACUGCAUUCGAUACUGCGUGGCUCGAGUGCUGGAGAGGAGACUGGAAUUUACGGUGUAGCAGUGAAAUGCGUAGAUAUCGUAAGGAAGACCAGUGGCGAAGGCGAGUCUCUGGACAGCAACUGACGCUGAGGCACGAAGGCCAGGGGAGCAAACGGG